UUACUAAAUUAUGUAUUUGUUUUUCCUUUUUGUUACUAUACUCAGUUAUUUGGGAGUUGAAUUUAUUUGUAGAACAGGCAAAUUUAAAAGGAAAAAGUUCAAGAAAGUUAUUUAUUCUAUUUAGUUAUACUAUGGUUAAUUGUAUAUGUGGUGGUGUUGUUUUUGUAUCUCAAAAUGAUUAGUCAAAAGUAAGAAAUUUGAAUUUUGAUCAUAAGGAAUUUCGGGUACAUUGCAGGGUAUAUUAUUAGUUAAUGGGAAAGGAAUAAUUCAAACAUCGAAAAUAAAAAGAGUGCAUUUUUCUGUUUUAGUAGUAGUUUUACUUUUUGGGGAGGAAUUUUGUAUCUAGAUGUUGUAGAUUAGUCAGUUGUAAUGAGCAUCUUGAUGCAUUUGGACUUGGAAGGCACAAUUAUCUAGUAGAACAUUGGCAUUUGCCUUGUAGGAGUAUUCCACAUUGUAAAAGAGGCAUUAGUGGAGGCUUAGAGAUUGAGUGUGAAGUUGAUUUAUCAUCAAGCUAAUUACAUAAUCCCCAGUUAUCUUUUCUAUUCUUCAGGCAAAUUUGAUCUAUAAAAUGCUGCAGAAAAUGCGCUUAUGCCUGUAGAGUUUUACAGAUAGGUUUAUCAAACAGUAGUUUACAAGAGUCCUUUCUGUUCAAUGAUCAUAUUAUCCCUUUUUGAAUUCUUAAACCUUUUUUUUCAAAGGAGUAUACAACAUCUGUUUGGUUCUGUUGUAUGCGGUUUUAUACACAGACAUGACUGUAUCCAAAUAUGCAUAUGCAUGUACAACAAGUCUGGUGCUUUUACUGGGGUAAUUGUGGUUUUAACUUAUAGAUGAAAACUUGUACUAGUAUACAGAGUUCUUGUAUUGCAAGGAAAUGAUAAAACAACCCCCAGGAUGAACUCAAAAUAUCUGUUGAUUUGCUUGCUUGUCACCAUUGCACUGCACCUGGUUUUAGGUAAAGCCCUUGUUGAGGACUGUGCAUGGCUGACGGGGAGACUGUGUACCUGGCUUCAUAAGAAAAGAUCCCCUGGUCUACAUGCAGUUAUUAACGUGUCGCCUUAUUUCGCCACUCAAGCAGAAUUAGAAAAGAUGCCUGGACCAUUAAGAAUACUUGUGCCUUCAAGGUUACUUCUUUUUCUUGAAAACCUGAACUUGUAUUAUUUCAGGUUUACUCCCCUUUGUAUGAGUUCCUUGAAGACUUGCUGAUUUUCCUGCUUUAUUUUAGGAGACAGUCAUGAUAAAAGCAAUGUCAAAUUGUUGUUAGAUACAAUUUUGUUGGUAUUCCUUCUAGAUUCAUUGAACUGAUGGUACUUGACUAUCACUUGUCAGCCUUGUCUGAACAAUUUAUUUAUGUAUCUGGAGUAUAUCAUGUUCAAUUGAAUCCACAUGCUUAUUUGUGUAAUGAAGGCUGUUCAAUGCUCCAUCAAAUGUUGGCAAAUGAUUUUCCAUCCUAUACAUAAAACAUGCCUAGAAUUGUUCAAUGCUCCAACGAAUGUUGGCAAUUGAUUUUCCAUCCUGGACAUAAAAACGUGCUUAGAAUUUGUACACAAUCUUGACACUGAUACUACUAUUCUCUUUAUUACUACAAUGUAAAAGAAGGGCAAACUUUUUCUGCAUCACAUGUGCGACAUUCUAAGAUACGGGCUUCUCAAAUGACACCUCGGAUGGUUACUACCUUCAAUUUCCUUGAUUUGCAGUCCCAUGGAGAUAUGAUGCCGUGUUGCAACGGUGAAAUAGUUGGUUCCAUGAGAUAUGAUAAUCUUCCUCUUCUUGUCUCUCUGAAACUCAUGAUGGAGCUCCCUCUCAAGCUUAAUAGACAGCCUUCUUUUUCAUCUCUGCGCCUGCAAAAGAUAAUUGUUGCAGCUUAAUCUUGGACAACACUCAGAGCUCUGGCAACUGCAGUGUAGAAUAUGCAAGGCUAUAAUAUGGCAAUGAAGGUAGAGUGAGGAAGGGUGAUGUCGUCUGUGAGUUAUGAUUUUUUUUUUUUUUGAUGUAUUCUUUCUGAUUGUUUGUGAGUGCUAGAAUAUACAGCAACGGGCCUUAAUUAUAAAUGACAAAUCAAUUGUGCAAGUUAGAGCGGGCUUGGAUGGGUGCUUGUUCCUUGGGAGAUUUGGUGGGUAUUAUGUGUUUUAAGAACAAAUCUAAAAUCCCAAGUACUCAUUCUGUUCCGAUUCCAAUUCACUUUUUGUUCCAGUUCCAA